GCGGGCGUGGCGGAAUGGCAGACGCGCCAGAUUUAGGUUCUGGUGGUGAAAACCGUGGGGGUUCAAGUCCCCCCGCCCGCA
rnacentral:tRNA from 2 species